rnacentral:tRNA from 1 species
AUUACUUUGGCAGAAUAGUGCUUUAAAUUUAGAAUUUAAUUAUGUAUAAUAGUAAAUACAGGUAAUA